ensembl:lncRNA LOC120097083 uncharacterized LOC120097083
GGCCUGUCGUGGGCAUGCGCAUGCGUGGCAGGGGAGGUCCAGGAACACAGUGUGGGGAGCCCCCGGGUGGACGCCGGGUCCUUUGCGGACGCUGUGCCGUUGUGAGGAUGCUUGGAGGUGCCGCCGCGGGGUCUCGGGGAGCCCGGCCUUCCAUACCAAUCUAUCACUAGCUGGAGCUGUCCCUUCCCAGCUGGUCAGGGACCCCUGGGUGACGGCCAGCUUCCCGUUAGAAUCACCUCGAGGGAGCAGGAGCUAGACUAGGCCUUAGAAAUGACGUAAGAAGCCGCAGGCGACUCCGUGUGCAAUGCUGGGAGAGCUGUGGUUUAUCCAUGGGUUUUCCCUGCUCUGUGGCUGGGUCUGAGGGCUGCACCUCGCCCCACCCUUAGGAUCCAGUCCUGCCACACUUGCUUUUGGAGUUGGAUGCAGAAGCGUGACCCUUGCUCUCAGCCUCGUGGAAGGCCCAGGAAAAUGAAAUCCAAGGUUAGUCACUUCAGAGUACUGUGAAAGAAAAAUUCAUGAUAACAGUUUUCAUUCUAUGUGGAAGAAGUGAUUAAUGGGUUCUUUAUAAUAAGAAUCGUGCUUCAUGGAAUAAAUCAUCUUGAAUUCUUAAGGCAAGAUGAUGUCAGAAUCACAAGCAAAGGAAUAACGGCUGAAAGUGCUCAAACCCAAGGAUCAGCAAGUCCAAUUUUAAAAACUUUCCACGCUUUAUUAAAGCUACACAUGUCCAGCUCCAUUUCACCCGCUUGUUUUUGCUGUCCCAGGGCUGAAAUAGCUUUGUGUACACCAAGCUGGCAUUUUACAACUGAGCUGUCCAAUCUCUAACAGUGUGUCUUAAAGUGUGUGUGUACGCUUGCAUGGACAGUCCGUUAUGGGGGCUUUCAAUAAUUAUCUUGACAAUAUGAGAACUUAUGCUUGCACACAUACCUAGUGAGUUCAUAGUUAGUGAGGUCAAAGUACCUACUAUUGGAGCAAGAUACAGGAAAGAUAAAAUUGGUCAUUUUAACCAUAUAGAUUUGCUGAUCAGACUGUGAACUGUGAUUGUGUUAUUUACCAAAAAGAAAAACUGUUUCAAGGUUUUGUGUGGCUCUGCCUUUGUGUGGCACACACCUUAAUCCCUCUGGCUGGAAUACAGACACAUCCUUAGUACACACUUUUAAUACCAAACAAUGAAGAUAAAGUUAGUUUGUAGAAGGAAGCAGCCAUGUUUGAAAGUGAUGUCUAGUUGAGUGGCAGACACGGUGAUGAAUCAGAGAAAGAUUUGACAGAAUAGGAUAUGCCCAGCUCUCAUGAGAAGAGAGGAAAGAAAAUCCACUUAAAAGAGCUUAAGUAAGCUCUCUUAAGCACACGCACAGAGAAAAAGAAGGCAGUUUUACCAGGAAAGUCAUACAGAGACAGGUUGCAGAGAGACACAGGAGAAGACAGAACAAGUCAGAGAAUGAGAAGGAGCCAGAAAAUUUAACAGAUUGCUAGAGUUAGUUUGAGGCCAAGCAGAGCAAAAAGUUAGAGGCCAAGAGAGAAGCCAGACUGAAGCAGUCAGCUUGGAGAGGAAUCUGAGCCAGAUAGCUGAGUUAAACCAGCCAGCCAGAGUUCAGAAAGAAUAGGAAAGGGUGAGUUAGUUAUUCAGCAGUAAGUCUAAGAGGCUGAAAACAUCCGGGGCCUAGAUAAGAUUUCACAGAGGCUGGAAGGUUCCAGGACUAAGCCUAGGCUAGCCUCCAGGCGACAAUUACCUCAGGCAAAUGAAAGGUACUGUUUCUGUAGUCUACAGUGCUGACGACACUCACAGCCAUGCAGCUGAUCCCUAGGGUAGUGACAGGCCAUAUCUUUUAAGUUCAGACUCCAUUUUAAAGAACCUGACCUAAGUUUGAACUCAAGUAAACUAACAGGCGGGUACCUAACAUUAGUUUCUGAGUUGCACCCCCUCCCCAAC